UGAGCUGUGAUGAGAAAGCUAACACGUAAGAAGAGACAACUCCUCUGUGGGGUAUAUCUUUUCUAUGAAAUAUAUUUGUUACGCUUGGCUUCUGAGCUAA
rfam:Brassica napus, WGS project CCCW01000000 data, contig: 19272